UUGCUGAGCUAAGUAGAGGUCUCUUUUAUGGCGGUCUUCAUUCUAUCAUUUUUUAACC
rfam:Pan troglodytes isolate Yerkes chimp pedigree #C0471 (Clint) chromosome 13, whole genome shotgun sequence.